rnacentral:rRNA from 1 species
AUUGAACGCUGGCGGCAGGCCUAACACAUGCAAGUCGAGCGAGCGGCGGACGGGUGAGUAAUGUCUGGGAAACUGACUGAUGGAGGGGGAUAACUACUGGAAACGGUAGCUAAUACCGCAUACCAUCAGAUGUGCCCAGAUGGGAUUAGCUAGUAGGUGGGGUAACGGCACACCUAGGCGACGAUCCCUAGCUGGUCUGAGAGGAUGACCAGCCACCCUGGAGCUUAUACGCGGUCCAGACUCCUCCGGGAGGCAGCAGUGGGGAAUAUUGCACAAUGGGCGCAAGCCUGAUGCAGCCAUGCCGCGUGUGUGAAGCAGUCCUGCGGGUUGUAAAGCACUUUCAGCGGGGAGGCGUUACCCGCAGAAGAAGCACCGGCUAACUCCGUGCCAGCAGCCGCGGUAAUUC